UUUAUGGAGAGUUUGAUCCUGGCUCAGGAUGAACGCUGGCGGCGUGCCUAAUACAUGCAAGUCGAGCGAACUGACGAGGAGCUUGCUCCUUUGACGUUAGCGGCGGACGGGUGAGUAACACGUGGGUAACCUACCUAUAAGACUGGAAUAACUCCGGGAAACCGGGGCUAAUGCCGGAUAACAUGUUGAACCGCAUGGUUCAACAGUGAAAGACGGUCUUGCUGUCACUUAUAGAUGGACCCGCGCCGUAUUAGCUAGUUGGUAAGGUAACGGCUUACCAAGGCGACGAUACGUAGCCGACCUGAGAGGGUGAUCGGCCACACUGGAACUGAGACACGGUCCAGACUCCUACGGGAGGCAGCAGUGGGGAAUCUUCCGCAAUGGGCGAAAGCCUGACGGAGCAACGCCGCGUGAGUGAUGAAGGUCUUCGGAUCGUAAAGCUCUGUUGUUAGGGAAGAACAUAUGUGUAAGUAACUGUGCACAUCUUGACGGUACCUAACCAGAAAGCCACGGCUAACUACGUGCCAGCAGCCGCGGUAAUACGUAGG
rnacentral:rRNA from 1 species